CGUAGGGGCAAGCGUUGUCCGGAUUUAUUGGGCGUAAAGGGUUCGCAGGUGGCCUUUUAAGUCAGAUGUGAAAGAUCACAGCUCAACUGUGGUAAGCAUUUGAAACUGAAAGGCUUGAGUUAAGGAGAGGAAAGUGGAAUUCCUAGUGUAGCGGUGAAAUGCGUAGAUAUUAGGAGGAAUACCAGUGGCGAAGGCGACUUUCUGGACUUAUACUGACACUGAGGAACGAAAGCAUGGGGAGCAAACAGGAUU
rnacentral:rRNA from 1 species